rnacentral:tRNA from 1 species
UGGCUCAGUUGGUAGAGCAUGGUGUGUGCAACGCCAGGGUCGUGGGUUCAAUUCCCAC